UACGGAGGGAGCUAGCGUUGUUCGGAAUUACUGGGCGUAAAGCGCGCGUAGGCGGCUUUGUAAGUUAGAGGUGAAAGCCCGGGGCUCAACCCCGGAAUUGCCUUUAAGACUGCAUCGCUUGAAUCCGGGAGAGGUGAGUGGAAUUCCGAGUGUAGAGGUGAAAUUCGUAGAUAUUCGGAAGAACACCGGUGGCGAAGGCGGAUCUCUGGGCCAUUACUGACGCUGAGGAGCGAAAGCGUGGGGAGCGAACAGG
rnacentral:rRNA from 1 species